CAAAAUUGAACCAAUCCAAGAGAUGCUUUACCUCGUAAACUCGUUGGAUGAAGAGUCAAGGUCCGGUCGUGAAAAUCACGGUCACAGGCUAUAUAUACUCGAAGAAACUGAAGUGUCAAUUAAUAAGCCGUGGCUAAUCUAAGCGGAUCAUUUUGCUCAGCGAAGCUACUAGAAGUUAUACAGUACGACGAGGGAGUGGACGAUUCCUUCCACUCAGUUCCUUCUCUGCCUCCUCUUUCUUCUCCCAGAUCAAGAGCUUUUCUGAGAAAAGCUUUCGCAAAUUGCAACUCUACCUGUGUGGGUUAACCACGCGGCGCUAUGCCUAUGUGAAACUCCGAAGAGCUAUGUUAUCGUAAAUUUUUGUUCAUUUCUUCUUGUUUUUUUUUUUUUUUUCUUUUCAUUCUAGUUGCUGAUAUUGCAAAUCAUGGAUCGAUUUCGUGAUUUGUUUGCUGUUCUGUGAUCAAGACUGUGUUCAUCAUUAUUCAUUCGAUGAAAUU